GUAGGUGGCAAGCGUUGUCCGGGAAUUAUUGGGGCGUAAAGCGCGCGCAGGCGGUUCUUUAAGUCUGAUGUGAAAGCCCACGGGCUCAACCGUGGAGGGUCAUUGGAAACUGGAGAACUUGAGUACAGAUGAGGAAAGCGGAAUUCCACGUGUAGCGGUGAAAUGCGUAGAGAUGUGGAGGAACACCAGUGGCGAAGGCGGCUUUCUGGUCUGUAACUGACGCUGAGGCGCGAAAGCGUGGGGAGCAAACAGGAUUAGAUACCCUGGUAGUCCACGCCGUAAACGAUGAGUGCUAAGUGUUAGGGGGUUUCCGCCCCUUAGUGCUGCAGCUAACGCAUUAAGCACUCCGCCUGGGGAGUACGGCCGCAAAGGCUGA
rnacentral:rRNA from 1 species